rnacentral:rRNA from 1 species
ACUCAAAUGAAUUGACGGGGGCCCGCACAAGCGGUGGAGCAUGUUGUUUAAUACGUCACUAACCGUAGAACCUUACCAGGGCUUGACAUCUUCGGACCUCCCAUGAAAGUGGGCUUUCCCCGCAAGGGGACCGGAAGACAGGUGUUGCAUGGCUGUCGUCAGCUCGUGUCGUGAGAUGUUGGGUUAAGUCCCGCAACGAGCGCAACCCUCACCCCAUGUUGCUAACAGGUGAAGCUGAGAACUCUUGGGGAACUGCCCGUGCAAGCGGGAGGAAGGUGGGGAUGACGUCAAGUCAGCAUGGCCCUUACGCCCUGGGCUACAAACAUGCUACAAUGGACGGCGUACAAAGGGAACCGAAAUCGCGAGAUGGAGGCAAUCUCAAAAAUCCGUCCCCAGUUCAGAUCGCAGGCUGCAACUCGCCUGCGUGAAGUCGGAAUCGCUAGUAACCGCCGAUCAGAUAAGCGGCGGUGAAUACGUUCCCGGGCCUUGUACACACCGCCCGU